AACGAACGCUGGCGGCAUGCUUUACACAUGCAAGUCGAACGGUAACAGGGAGCUUGCUCCGCUGACGAGUGGCGAACGGGUGAGUAAUGCGUCGGAACGUGCCGAGUAGUGGGGGAUAACGCAGCGAAAGUUGUGCUAAUACCGCAUACGUACUGAGGUAGAAAGUGGGGGACCUUCGGGCCUCACGCUAUUCGAGCGGCCGACGUCUGAUUAGCUAGUAGGUGAGGUAAAGGCUCACCUAGGCGACGAUCAGUAGCGGGUCUGAGAGGAUGAUCCGCCACACUGGGACUGAGACACGGCCCAGACUCCUACGGGAGGCAGCAGUGGGGAAUUUUGGACAAUGGGCGAAAGCCUGAUCCAGCCAUGCCGCGUGUCUGAAGAAGGCCUUCGGGUUGUAAAGGACUUUUGUCGGGGAGGAAAUCCCCAGCGCUAAUACCGCUGGGGGAUGACAGUACCUGAAGAAUAAGCACCGGCUAACUACGUGCCAGCAGCCGCGGUAACAC
rnacentral:rRNA from 1 species